AUCCGGCUGACGAGUACCAAAUAGGACGAAACGCGCGUUCCUGGAU
rfam:Schistosoma mansoni strain Puerto Rico chromosome 7, complete genome